GUAACUCCGGAAAGAGAGGG
rnacentral:tRNA from 1 species